GAUGAAGAACGUAGCGAAAUGCGAUACUUGGUGUGAAUUGCAGAAUCCCGUGAACCAUCGAGUCUCUGAACGCAAGUUGCGCCCGAAGCCAUUAGGCCGAGGGCACGCCUGCCUGGGCGUCACACGUCGUUGCCCCCCCAUCUACUCCUUCGGGAUUGCGGGGGGCGGAUGAUGGCCUCCCGUGCGCCUCGCCGCGCGGUUGGCAUAAAUGCCAAGUCCUCGGCGACGCACGCCACGACAAUCGGUGGUUGCGAAACCUCGGUUGCCCGUCGUGUGCGGUCGUCGCGCAUCGAGGGCUCGAAAAAAUUGCCGGGUUCCGGCUCGGCUUUCAACGCGACCCCAGGUCAGGCGGGGUUACCCGCUGAAUUUAAGCAUAUCAAUAAGCGGAGGA
rnacentral:misc_RNA from 1 species